ensembl:lncRNA
GCUCCUACAUUCGGCAAGUAUGAUUUGUCCCCUUUUAUAGAUCAGAAAAUCAACCAUGGACCAGAGACUGCAGUGGCCCAAGGACAGUGACGCAUCUGCAGAGUAUGACAGCGGACAAUGAAAAAGAUGCUAAGACCUUUCAUGUUUGAAGUUCCUCAGAUACAUUUUGGAAAUGAAGUCUGGGUGAAGGGAGCUGUGGGGGAGUGUCUUUACCGACCUAUUAGCAUUCUACCAGCAGAAAUAUUUGAUCCUGCCUGCUCCAAGGGCUCCAGUACUGUGACUGGUGUC